ACAUAGAAUGGAAGAGGUACUUCCAUAAGAAAAAGCUACCAAGCAGUACAAAGCAGAGACAUCGAUUGGUGCAUUUUUUUGGCGCUACUUACAGUGGAACGCACCUGAACGAUGGAUGAGAACGUUAUGGAUAUUGCCUUUAUGAUUGCAACAGGAGUUUUUGCUCUUAAAACAAAACAAAAAAUGUUCCCUUUGGCCGACAUAAGUCCUAAAUGAGAGUACACCAACGCGUCCUUCAUUUUACAUGUUCCACUGAAUGUUUUUCAUUGGUUUAAUUUUCCUACCUCGAUCUUCGUUUAGGAAUUUCUAGGUCAGCAUGAAUUCUUUUGAUUCCGGAUGUUGAUUUCCGUCGCCGCUAUGCGGGGCGGAAUCUUUAAAAUCGCCUGAUGGGAGAUAUAUAUAGAUGGAGAGAGAGACAGCACAGAGCCCGGACGCUGUUAAGUUUUUGUCCAGGCUAAACGCUCGGAAAAUUCCAUUUUUUCGAAAGCCAAUGAAGAUGCUUUAUUUUAAUCUCUGUCAAUUAAAUGACCAAUCUGAACAGAGAGUGUACUCUUCGUGUGGCCAGAACAUUCCGUGUGCGUCCAUGACUAAAAGUGCUUACAUUUUGCUGGUCGUGUUCUGCCCAGAUUGCGAAAACGGCCUGUUUACAACCGGGACAGCCGGAUUAUGUACACAUGAUCUGAUUAUGUUUUUUUUGCACUGGUUAUGUAGUGGUGACCGGAUUAUGAACGCUGAUAUAAUGACUGGCCAGGCAGGCUGUGAUUGGCAUUUUCUUCGAACUUUUGUGAAUUAAACAUUCUCUGGAAGAUAGAACACCCCUAAAAACUAGAGAUGGCGGAAGAAAAAAGUCUCGACGUAAUUCUUAGUUUAAAACUAAUCUUGUAGUAAAUACAUUUCAGCAUAAUAUACUUUGAAGUAACUAAAUUUCACGGAACCUAAAUUAUUCUUUUUGCGGAAAUUAAGUUUGGUGAAAAGUCAUUAAACUUGCGAAUCCCAAAAUUUAGUAUUUGCCGCGAAAUUUCGUUUCAUUUGAGAGCAACAACAACUUUGCCACCAGGGCUAUUCGCUUGUCAGAAGUGAUGACGAAUGAUAUAAAAGCGGUCGGCCCCGAUUAUAUUUGUUCUAUAAGUCUGGAAUAAUAUUUGACUGUCAUACAUAAGUCGGCCUUCCCCGAUUAUGUGCGUUAUAAGUGAGAAAUAAUAGAAAAAUGCCAUACAUAAGCCGGUCGGCCCCGAUUACGUUCGUUCUAUAAGUCUUGAAUAAUAUUUGACUGUGUCAUACAUAAGUCGGCCUGCCCCGAUUAUGUUCGUUCUAUAAUAAAUGAGAAAUAAUAUUACACUGUCGUAUAUAAACUGGCCUGCCCUGAUUAUAUGUCCCUUUUAUAAGUUCCAAAUAAUAUUUUUUGAGUAAUAAGCCGGCCUGUCCUGAUUAUGUUGCCCUGAUUAUGUAUUUUCUGCCCUGUUCUUAACCGGUGCAAGCUGCCGUACUUAAUCAGGCCAAUGUUCAUUAUCCGGGCAGAACAGUCGCCCCUUGCUGGUCUCUUUGGUUUGGUCGUAGUAGCUUUAUUGAUGGGGAGCUAAGCACUAUUUUUUAAAUUCGUGUAUUUUAUCAGGUCAGCUGUUAUCAAACCAUGCACCACCAGCAUUUUCAAAAAAUUUUCAACAAGAGAGUAAAUUUUGAAGGCCUUAAAUACUGAAAUGCUAAUAUGUAUAUAUGUAUUUAUUGCUGAAUUAAUAAACAAUGAACUACUUCAUCAUUCAAAUUGAGCUCGUUCGGAAGUUAUUAUAUUCGAAUCGUCAAGUUUUUACGUAGCAAGAUUUUGUAUUCUGGAAUUUCCAAAAUUUUCCUGAUCACUUUUAAAAAUAUCCAGUUAAAGUUUUAACUGGUAUUUUAGAAUACUUCAUAUAGCUAUGUAAUUUUUUUUAAUUUAUUUAUUUAGUUGUAUUUUAACAUUGCAGGUUAGUUAAAAAAAUAGUUGAGAAUCGUGA